AGCGUCCUGGAUUUAUUUAGUUAUUUAUUUAUUAAUUUUUUGCAAGAGGCACAACUCUGGCUCCAGCCGCUCUCUCCCAGACGCACUGCGACGCAGCCAGACAAUGGAAGAGGAGGCACAGGAAGGCACAGCUGUACCGGCAGUCUCUUUUUCCAGGCAGGGACAGGAGUUCGCCUGCGUCUCUCUCCCUCUCUCCCUCCCUCUCUCUCUCGCUCUCGUUCAUGAGCUCUUACUCUCGCCUUUCACAUCCAACCCCAAAAAAUGAUGCGCCUCCACUCUUCUCUUUUCGCGAGACAAGUGGGUGAAUCGCUUUCCCCCCUGUAGAACAAUCCGAGACGGCCGUUGAAGACAGUGAAGACAAAAGAAAGAAGUGCAAUGUGACAAAAGAAACAACAACAACUACAAGCGAAAGUUGGAAUUCGUGAUUCGUCUUCUCCGAGGAACAAAAGAUUUGGGGGAUAGAGCGAGCAGGAUUUUUUUUCGCGGGGAGUUUUUCCUGCCGUCCUCAUCGCGGCAUCCUCCGCGCCCGUCAUGUCGAAGUGAGAGAACAAUUUGCAUCUCUUCCGAAUUUUUCCAUCGGACCUUUCGCGGGCGAAACAGGGGUUGCCAUUGCGGAAACUGCGCAUCCAGAUGCCAACUUGUCCACGGUGCGGAUGAACAGCUGUCUGGAGUUUGGAGUCUGGAGUCUGGCCGCUGAUCACUCAGGCCCGUUUCCGCGUUGUUGCGACAGCUUUGGCUCUCACCCCACGGCUGCUCUCCCAGAUCUCGGUUUCCAGUGGUGGUGAGGUCCGCUGGUUACCCCCCCACCACCUCCACCUCGGGGGCGGUAGACGGUGGAUGGUAGACGGCUCCGAGUCUGACACAGACGCGCAAGCAGACCCCCGGAGCCCCAGCAGCCGUGCAUCGCUGCAGACAGCCGGCGAGUGAGCAGACGCGCUGACCUAAAUCACAUCCAGUCAUGUCUGGAUGGAGGCAGAGCGAGGGAGAGGAAGAGAGAGAGAGAGAGAGACAGAGACAGAGCAAGGAGGAGAGAAACAGGGAGAGGGAGGGAGAGAGAGCGAACGAGCGAGUGAGUGUGCGCCAGAGAGUGUUUCAGACACGUAGAAACACACAUACACACACAGCAUCAGCCGACGUGUGGAGAGUUCGAAACCGCUGCAACGCAGUCAGCCGGAAGCUGCUGGCAGGAAAGAACCACACCGCUGUCCGUACAACAAAAGGGAGCAGUGCUGAGACUGCAGUCUGCAGUACCCGGUACCUCGCAUGAACUGAGAUACCUGCAUCAAAGCAAUAACAGUGCAGAGGCUCGGUAAUAAAAAGCCGUGCCUGGCAGCCA
rnacentral:lncRNA from 1 species